rnacentral:rRNA from 1 species
AGAGUUUGAUUAUGGCUCAGGACGAACGCUGGCGGCGUGCUUAACACAUGCAAGUCGAGCGAUGAAGCUUCUCGGAAGUGGAUUAGCGGCGGACGGGUGAGUAACACGUGGGUAACCUGCCUCAUAGAGGGGAAUAGCCUUCCGAAAGGAAGAUUAAUACCGCAUAAGAUUGUAAUAUCGCAUGAUAUAGCAAUUAAAGGAGUAAUCCGCUAUGAGAUGGACCCGCGUCGCAUUAGCUAGUUGGUGAGGUAACGGCUCACCAAGGCGACGAUGCGUAGCCGACCUGAGAGGGUGAUCGGCCACAUUGGGACUGAGACACGGCCCAGACUCCUACGGGAGGCAGCAGUGGGGAAUAUUGCACAAUGGGGGAAACCCUGAUGCAGCCAACGCCGCGUGAGUGAUGACGGUCUUCGGAUUGUAAAGCUCUGUCUUCAGGGACGAUAAUGACGGUACCUGAGGAGGAAGCCACGGCUAACUACGUGCCAGCAGCCGC